UACGUAGGGGGCUAGCGUUGUCCGGAUUUAUUGGGCGUAAAGAGCGUGUAGGCGGCCAGAUAGGUCUGCUGUGAAAACUCGAGGCUCAACCUCGAGAUGUCGGCGGAAACCAUUUGGCUAGAGUCCGGAAGAGGAAAGUGGAAUUCCUGGUGUAGCGGUGAAAUGCGCAGAUAUCAGGAAGAACACCCGUGGCGAAGGCGGCUUUCUGGGACGGUACUGACGCUGAGGCGCGAAAGCUAGGGGAGCAAACGGG
rnacentral:rRNA from 1 species